rnacentral:rRNA from 1 species
CCUACGGGAGGCAGCAGUGAGGAAUAUUGGUCAAUGGACGAGAGUCUGAACCAGCCAAGUCGCGUGAAGGAUGACUGCCCUAUGGGUUGUAAACUUCUUUUAUAUGGGAAUAAAAUGUUCCACGUGUGGGAUUUUGUAUGUACCAUAUGAAUAAGGAUCGGCUAACUCCGUGCCAGCAGCCGCGGUAAUACGGAGGAUCCGAGCGUUAUCCGGAUUUAUUGGGUUUAAAGGGAGCGUAGGUGGAUUGUUAAGUCAGUUGUGAAAGUUUGCGGCUCAACCGUAAAAUUGCAGUUGAAACUGGCAGUCGUGAGUACAGUAGAGGUGGGCGGAAUUCGUGGUGUAGCGGUGAAAUGCUUAGAUAUCACGAAGAACUCCGAUUGCGAAGGCAGCUCACUGGACUGCAACUGACACGGAGGCUCGAAAGUGUGGGUAUCAAACAGGAUUAGAGACCCUAGUAGUC